UACAGAGGUGCCGAGCGUUAGGCGGAAUCACUGGGCUUAAAGCGUGUGUAGGCGGGUCGUUAAGUGCCUUGUGAAAUCCCAUGGCUCACCCAUGGAACUGCUUGGCAUACUGGCGAUCUUGAGCCACUUAGGGGCAACCGGAACAAACGGUGGAGCGGUGAAAUGCGUAGAUAUUGGGAAGAACACCAGAGGCGAAGGCGGGUUGCUGGGCCGACACUGACGCUGAGGCGCGAAAGCCAAGGGAGCAAACGGG
rnacentral:rRNA from 1 species